UGUUGUUAACAAUUCUCUCUUUAUUAAAAAGGGUCCUACAGCUUUACAAACACAGCUCAGACGUGGCCCUGCAGAGAUGGCGAGGCCAGCCUGGAGGCCCCUGCACCAUGUCAACAUCGAGCUCACACGUUUGGCUGCGCCCCGUGCGGGCUGCGGGCACCCCGACAGCGGGGCACGUGGCAGAGGUAUCGGGUGGUGGCACCGCACUCUCAAGAUUCACAGAACAUGGUAGGCCCACCUGAUUGGCAUGGCACUGAGUCCUGUACAGCUUUUAAAAAGACAAUUAUGACACAGAGUUCAAGUCCAGGAGAACUGUACAGUAAUUGAGUACAAAGUUUGGUGGCCUUGCCCGUGGCCCGCUGGGACAGAUGCCAUUUGAGCUCUGCCUUGAUUCUGUCACCCGGGUGGCAGCCAGCUGGGUGAGUGGUCACAGGCUGGGGCCAGGGGUUCACCAAUGAGCACACAGCCCUUUUUUGCCAGCAGGUGGGGGGUGGCCUUCCCCCCACCCCCACGAGCCCUGGGAAUUCGGCACGUGUGGGUGAGAACCCAGAGGGGAAGGAAGAGCCUGGGGUGCUGCCAGAGGUCUGAGUGUGCUGGGGCCCUCUAAUCUCAGGGGGCGGGCUUCUCUAAACCCAGCUGAAUGCUGCUGGCAUCCCUGCCCCACUCGUGUCCUGAGGCCCAGCCAGCCAGGGGCAGAGAACACUGGCUAAGAGGAUCCUGGCUCAAGGUGGGCAGACUUCCUCCAGCGGCAACAAAACAAUGCAAAAAAGCCCCUGUGGAACCUAGAGCCACCAAGGGUGGUGGCAACAGCAGCUGGUAACAGCCCCCACCGCCUGCCCGUCCUGAGGCCCACAGGGGAGCCACGGCCGCCCCUCACUGGCACCAGGUGAAGCUAAGGCACAGCACGGGCCGCGGUGCGACUGGGCACUACUUCCAAGAAGGGCACUGCAUUCACUUCGUGUGCACUUCACUCUGCUCAGAACAGUAUGUGCAUUUUUAUAGUUUCCCUGAAUGGUCUUGUGUCAAAAAAGUUUUCUUUGCCAAUAAAAAAUAGGAAAAUUACACAUGUAGUAAAAAUACGGGGGGAGUAUUUCUUCAUAGAAACCCUCAGGGCUGGCUCGAGGCGGAGGGAGAGCAGGAGAGCCCGGAACAUCAUCUGCUGUGCAAAGUCCAGCUCGGAGCCAUCUCCUCAGGGCCGGCCGCAACUCGCCCGGCGAGGCCGUGGCAGUGGGCCAAGUGCAAACUCUGCGUGUGGCUUUGAAACACCCACGUUCAGGAGAGGAGGGGGUGACUGACGACCACCCCACACAGAUUAAGCAAGCACCUUCCGGGCUAGCCCACCCAACCAACCCGUACCAGGGGCUGCGGCGGGCGGCGGGCUGGGACACACACAACUGUCUUUUGAAAACAAACCAGAAAUGAUGAACCAUGCUUACUAGAUAAAGCUGCAACAGGAGGACCACGAUUCUAAACAGGAACGGAGGGAGGCUUUUUCCUCCAAACUCGUGAGUUCAUCAACACUACGAGACUUAGAAAUGAUACCGAGAACGCAAACCAGCGCAACCACAGGGAUGCCAGGCGGAGGCCCAGCACACACAGCCGCCUGGGUGUACACGACUGGUUUCUACGUCUACUUACCACUGACCUACAGUUCUAAAAUCAGAUGGACAUCCCGGCCCAGGGCACCGGAGCCCUUGGCAGAGCACCUGGUCCUCGAAGCCUCCCCGGUGUGUGCGGAACCCCGGCCAGCAGGCGCAGGUGAGGGAGCCUCCCAGGAGGCCGAGGGCCACUCACUGGAGGAUGAAGCCCGGCUGGUGAGGCAGCCGGGGUGGGGGUCUCUGGGGGAGAGGUGGCGGGUAUGGUGACACAAACUGUGUGGAGAAUCCUUGGGGGGGGGGAAGGCCCACGCGGGGGGGCAGGGGUGGGCACUGUGAUCCUGGGUACGGAAAGGCCUGUCCUGAGGCCAAGGCGGCGGUAAAUGGCGUGGCUGACCGUCCUGCAGGCACCGGGGGCGGUGGGGGUGGGAUGCGCCGAGGCACGACUGACGGGGGCCCGCUGGCCUCCGAGGCGGAGUAGGGCAGGGGGGCAGCGGGCACUGGUUCGGGCACCCUGGGGGGCAGCGGGGCUGGAGCUGGGGCCUGCGGAAGUCUCUGCCCCUUCAGCACCAUCUCCUGGAGCUUCUCAAUUUUAACUCUGCGCAUGUGGGCCAGUUUCCGCUUGCUCUGGUAGACAUCGAUGAAGGAGUCGAGAGGAAGCUCUCCAUCGAGAAACUUCUCUGCCAUGUUCUGGAAGCAGCAGGAGAAACCCGAUUACAGGGAAGGUCAGCUGUGAGGGAAGGCGCUCCCUCACUACCCGGUGCGCAGGGAGAGGCAGCACCCAGCUUCCUCCCAACACCUGUCCCCUUCUGCUAUCUGCCACCGCUCCAUGCUGCUGUCCUCAGUGGGGGCUCUGCCCUGGACAGAUGGGCUGGUCAUGCCUACCCCACCCUCCCAAACCACAGGCCAGACAGGCAGCAGGCCGUGGGGAGAGCCAGCCUUAAGACGAAGCCCCGAGCUGCUGGCUCUCCCGGCCCGGAGAGGAAACCACUGCACCCAGUUCUGACCCUCCCGCGUUAAACCAACUGGAAUCCAGUGUUUCCUUCCUUCCACCAGCCGCAUCCUGACAGACUGGCCCCGUUCGGAGUCAGCAGGACAGAAAUUUGCUCGUGCCCAUCAGGGCUCCCGCCUAAUGGCGAUGGUUAAUUAGACCAAGUAGCCUAACUUGGUAACACACUGCCAGCCCUGAUGCGCUACAACUGCGCAACUUUCAACCCUGACUCAUUUAUCACUUAGUGAGGCUCCAGCCUCAAGAGCCCAGCUGGCCACAUCCCACAGGCCCUGCCCCACCAGCUGACUCAGAGCGAAUGGGAGCUCAGCCACUGGCACCCACAGGACCAGUGCCAAUUCACAGGGCAGCGUGCAUCCCUCACUUGAGGACCAGACCUCAGCUUGGCACUUUCUCUGACCACAGGCCAGGCUGCCCAGGCUCACGUGCAGCUUACACAUGCGGGAGGCACCAUCUCCUGGCCAUGGAGAUGUGGCACUCACUGUCCCCGAGGGAACUGGGCCCAAAGUGGCCAGGACACGGGUAACUGUGCCCUGGGCACUCCACCAAGGCUGGCUGGCUUUACCUCGGUGUCUUCCUCGAUCUUGGCCCCUUCCGCCUGAAGAAGUGCUAGCAGGGUCUCCAAGGAAGCACUGCUGGACUGCUUAUCUGGAAGAGGAGGAGUGCCUUGUAACUGGAAAGGCACUAGGAGAGUCAAACCUUCUGAGAGCUGACUUUCCAGGAAGCUGAAAGUGAAGUAAGGCUUAAACUCCAGGGGAGGAACAAGUGCACGGACCAGUGUGGGCACUCGGGGCUGCACAUGCAUCAGCGUGCCGAGCAUCAGCACUGCCCUAGAGAACUGUACGGAACACCCGUUACAUAUGUCCCUUGUAUUUCUGAGUGAUAACUUACAUAAAGCAUACACGUCAUUAAGUGUAUCACGUGAUUUUUUACAUAUGUCUAAACCCCAGCAACCAGCACCAGCUCAGGACAUAGCAUAUUUGCAAAGCUCCCUCAGGCCCACCCCCAGCAACGCCCCCCAGAGGGAGGCCCUGAGCCGACCUGCACCACCCUGGAGUGCCACCCGGUCCUGAACCUCACACAAGCGGCAUCACAGUGUGUGCUCUGCGCCGGCUUCCUGCGCUCACACCAGGUCUCUGAUCUCACCCUAGUGUCAUAUGAAUCUGUCUGAGUCAGCAGCUGUCUCCUUCACUGCUGUGUCCAUUGUGUAAAUAUCACAACUAACCCAUCCCUCUGUAGCCUGACAUCUACACUGUUUCCACAUCUGGCUGUCAGGAAUACAGCUCCAAUGACCAUUCUUGUGCAUCUUCUGAGAGACAUAAAUGCGCACUGCUGCUGGAAACAGACCCGGAGUGGAAGUGCUGAAUCCCAGAGCACGCACAUCUCUCACGUUAGCAGGGACUGCCAAGCAGCUUUUCCGAGGUGGUCUUACCAGUUUACACUCCUACCAGCACUGGGCAGUGCCAGCCUUUUCAACUUUAUUCACUCUGGUGGGCACAUUAAAGUCCAUUUUUGCUGCCUUUACAGAGACAAUGAAAGGGGAUUUGGGCAUCAGAAGUCUCUGUAAACCUCUCUGCAGGGGGUAAUCUUUAACCUUCUCUAAUCUAAGUCUCUUCGAAAGCAAUCCAAAGUAUGGAGGACUCGAACAAUAUCCAACUCCACGCUCUCUUCAAAAUGGCUGUGAAUCAAAGUGUGACAUUAAAAUAAAAUGUUCCAGUGAGGAGUAUUUUUCAGAGUUAAUUCUGAGGGCUAACUUCACAAGAUAACACAUUUGUUGAACCAUAAUUCAGAAAACUGCCUCUUUCCUAAUGCUGUUUGGAGAAGGUGGAGUCUUAUUUAAAAAGCAGUUAAGUCUCUUUUCUAAAUUGGUGACAAUUCUAAAUAUAAACCAUUUCUUUGUGGCAGUAAUUACUGUCUUAAUCUGAAAUUUUCUCAUAAUAAUAUUUCUUUCCUGGUAGUGCAACAGCUUGAAAAUGUGUCCUUCCCUCAACUCUUUAUUCUUUUUUUCUUUAUUUUUGUUUUUUUGGUGAGGAAGAGUGGCCCUGAGCUAACAUCUGGUAUGUGGGCCACUGCCACAGGGUGGCUUGAUGAGCAGUGUGUGGGUCCAUGCCUGGGAUUCGAACCUCCAAACCCUGGGCCACCAAAGCAAAGCAUGCAAAUUUAACCACUACACCACCAGGCUGGCCCUCAACUUUUUAUUCUUGAAAGAUCACCCUAAAAAAGUUACCUAAUUUGGUCUUCUUUAUCUGAUAGGCUUCAAAGAGAACCUGAAGUUCCUGGUAUUUUUGGGUCAAACGUGCUUUCAGAGCAUCCAGUUGGGGCUGGUACAAAAGGUUUCCUUCUGCCAGGCUCCGGUUGCUGGCCAGCGUCAUUUCUUUGUUAAGCUGAACGUUCUGUGUCUGCAAGGAACACACAGGAUGAUGAGAACCAAAGUGUGUUAGUUCAUAGGCAAGUCCCCAGAGGUUCCCACGCCCCACGCCCAGGAGCUGCCACAUCUGCUUCCGUUUGGCUGUGUCUCCAGGCUCGGCCACGUGCGGGGCAGCCAUUCCCAGCCCCAAAGACUCCAGCCUCUCAGAUUUCUAGUUUGGACACUGCCCCCUAUUCUUAAACAGUGAGGCCACUUCCUUUCCAACCAGUUUGCAAGAUGGGCUUUGUCUUGUGACCUGUCGAGGCUUUCGCUUCAGCAGCUGCGCCGUGCCUGAAGUUCCUUACUCCCGCCACUGUGCUUGCAGGAAUAGACAGCUGUAAAGAUUUAGGGCUAGAUUUUUUCAAAACAAGUUCCUGCUACUCCAGAGAGUUAAAGAAUCGCUUUUAUCAGAGGAGGACCAGUCAGUGCAAUGUCAAUUCAGGCUUAACACUCAGGCUUACAGCUCAAGCACGAAAGCCUGAGGCCCCAGGGAUGAAUUCCGUUUACAGGAUUCUGCCCUCGUCCCUCCCCCACCCCAGCACCAGCUCUUCCUGGCUGAGGGGAGGGCCUCAUCUCGCCAGCUCCUGGCCAGUCCCUCAGUGAGGCUGACCCAAGGCUGGGCAAGGGGGACUUACUUGCCCAACAGGGUUUCAUUCUCCAAGUGGGGACACGUUAUUUGGGAGGUAGAGAAGCCCGCCUGGACGUCAGGAGUGAGAGGGAGAAAUGGAAGGUCUGAGAAAAAGGUAAGGAGCUCCUAAUAAAACUUAGCAAAAGUAUAUUAAAGAAAAACCAAAAAACACAAGGCAUCCGUGCCAUGUCCUCCAGCUCCCCUUUCACUCACCUUGAUCGGCUUCCUCCAGCGCGGCCUGCCCACUGCUCACAUUCUGGAUUUGAAGUUUCAACAACACACAAUUCCUUCCCCACACAUGCCCGCGUUUUUAGGAGCUCUUCUUCACCCCGACGCCAGGCAUCUCGUUUUUCCCCUUAAUAUUUCCUACCACCGCACCCAGGCUAUUUUCGCUGCUACUUCCUUCCUCUUGAUAGUUUGAGUGUAGAUUCCUGGCUGCGCUGCCUCUGCUCUGCACCCCUCCCCCCAGCCAUACCCAUUUGUUGCUCAUGCCCAGUUUCCAGCACACUCAUAGAGGCGUGUGCACACACACACACGCACGCACAACUUAGUGAAGGAAGAGAACAAAGGGAAAGCCCUUGGAUGGACGCCUCCACCAGGAGGCCCUGACCACCAGGCUGGGGGCUCUUCAGCAGACACAUAAUCUCUCUCUCCACACAGAUGAGCUGGGUGCAGGGCCUGAAAGAUUAGGCCAGCUCAAAACAGAAUUUAAAUUAAGGAUUUACAUUAAGAUAGAAAAUUAAGCCUCUAGCUCAACACUAAAAUUAGUGCAGUAGAAAUAGUUUCUGUUGGGGGCUGGAAAGACUGAGUUUAAACAGGGUUUCUGCUAUCUCGGGGUUUCGGAACGGCCCUCGGAGGGGGCUCCCCUCACUCGCUCCCCGCCUCCCCCUUACAGCGGCUCGCCCUCCAUGUGCACUGUAUCCCGAGGUCCUGCAGGAGAGUCUUUCCUUCGAUUGUUAAGCCAUUUAAAAGAACAAACAAAAAUAAACCAUUGCACAGCCACUCUGGAAGACAGCUCAGCAACUUCUUUUAAAACUAAACAUGCAACUACCAUAUGACCCCGAAAUUGUACUCCUGGGUAUUUAUCCCAGAGAAAUGAACAUUUAUAUUCACACGAAAACCUGUACGUGAACGUUCAGAACAGCUUUAUUUGUAACAGCCAAAACCUUGAAGCAACCCAGGUGUCCUUCGGCAAGUGAAGGGUUAACCAAAGUGAGUUCCAUCCACACCAGGGAACACUACUCAGCCAUAAAAAAGAACCAACUGUGGAUACACAUGGCAAUUUGGAUGAAGCUCCAGGGAAUUCUGCUGAGUGAAAAAAGCCAACCCAGAGAGUCACAUACUCUAUGAUUCCGAGUAUACAACAUUCUUGAAAUGAGAGAAUUACAGAAAUGCAGACAGAUUAGUGGCUGGGGGAGGGAAGUGGCUACAAGGACAACAUGAAGGAUCUUCGUGGUGAUGGAAUGUUCUCCUGUUCCCUAUGCUGACUGUAUCAGUGUCGCUAUCCUGACUGUGAGAGUGGACUAGAAUUCUGUAAGAUGCUGCCAUUGGGGGAAACUGGGUGAAGAUACAUACAGUAUCUCUGUACUGUUUCUUCCAAUGGCAUACAAAUCUACAAUUAUCUUAAAAUUCAAAGUUUAGUUAUAAACAAACCAACUGCUGAUGAGAUCUUUUCCUCCCACUGGUCUCAUCUGAUGGAUGAGAAGAGGGCAGGGGUUGGAGGCCACAGUGAAGACCUAGACGCCUGCUCCCAGACUCACUGCUCUGUGCACGCGAAAUUCUGACUCAAUCAAUUCUUUGUUCAAUAAACAUUUACUGAGCAACUAUUAUUUUCCAGGCCCUGAGCAAUGAGUGGAACAUGAGCGCUUCUGUCCUCACCUAAACUCACAGUCAGCACAAAUGGAACCGAACUUGCCAUGUCCCGAUCUCUGAGAUUCAGGGUGACCUGUUCCCACUCGCCCCGUCCUGAGAAGAAAUGGAACUCUUCCCUCCACAGGCCUCUGGCACUCAGGUCUGCUCUUCCAUCCGGCUCCUGCUCAUUGUCAGGCCCAAGCUUAAUGCCUUGCCCUCAGAGGCCUCGCUGACCGUCCUAUCUAAGCUGGCAGUCACCCUCUGUCACAGCACUCCUUUCUGUCCUGCCACUAAUUGCAAUCAGUGAAUAUCAAAUCUGGUUUCUUGCUCACUGUCUCCCCCACUGGAAUAUUAAUGACAUAGGCAAUAUCCUGUCAUCUGUGGCGUUCCCAGUACCGAGCACAUAUCAGCCACUCAGCAUCCACCGAAAGAGUCAGAAUGACCCUUCCCCACCCACAAAAAGCCAGUCACUUGAGGUCAGGUCCGACAAACAAGGUGGGUAACAAAAUCGAGAGUGAAAAAAAAAAAAAGAAGAGCCGUGUUUGUCAGGCAAUAACUGCCCCCAAUCCUUUCCGCAACAGGCAGGCUCCCUUGACACAGUCCUUUGAGCCUGAGUCUGUCGGGGAGUCUCACAUUAGAUCUAAGGGUAAUUCCGAAAGCAGGAUUUCUCCAAAACUCUUAAGCAAAGGCAGCACUGUAAGCUCAGGUCUCCCAAGGUGACCGCAGGAAAGGCACUGGCACCCAGGGAAGUGCAUAAUCCUAGCACGCUGUUAAAUAUGACUUUACAGCAGUGGUUCUCAACUUCAGCUGCACGUCAGAAUCACCCGACAAAAUCCCCAAUACCCAGACCAACCCCAUAGCAGCCAAACUCUCUAGGAGGGGCCCAGGCACACUUUUUAUUUGUUUUUUUGGUGAGGAAGACUGGCUCUGAGUGAACAUCUGUUGCCACCUUCCUCUUUUUUUUCCUUUCUUUCCCCAAAGCCUCAGUACAUAGUUGCAUCUCCUAGUUGUAGAUCAUUCUAGUUCCUCCAUGUGGGACGCUGCCACAGCAUGGCUUGAUGAGCGGUGCAUAGGUCCACAUCCAGGAUCCAAACUGAUGAACCCCGAGCCUCCAAAGCAGAGCAUGCAACCUUAACCACUUGGCCAUGCAUGGACAUUUUUUCAAAGCUCCCCAGGUGACUGCAACAUACAGCUAAGUGUCCCUGCCUCAGUUUCACAGUAUAAUACCUCCGCAAAUAAAUCUUAUUCUCGUAGGGUCUAAGUCAGUCAAAACCCCCUUCUUCUCCAUGCUAGAAAGUCCUAGGAGAGAGUAACCCAAGGAAGCACAGGCUACAGUCAAAAGGAAGCUCAUCUGCACAGGAUGCAUAAAGGCAAAGUCGAAGUCACCAGCCAGCAAAAGAGACCAAAUUAACUUCAACUGAUGACCGUUAUGCUGCUGAAACUUUUUACAUCCUUUGGAUACUCAGAUUUUUUUUUUUUUUGAGGAAGUUUAGCCCUGAGCUAACAUCUGCUGCCAAUCCUCCUCUUUUUGCUGAGGAAGACAGGCCCUGAGCUCACAUCCGUGCCCAUCUCCCUCUACUUUAUAUGUGGAAUGCCUGCCACAGCAUGGCGUGCCAAGAGGUGCCGUGUCCGCACCUGGGAUCUGAACUGGCGAACCCCGGGCCACGAAGAAGCAGAACGUGGGCACUUAAUCGCUGCGCCACCGGGCCGGCCCCCAAAUAUUUUUACAUAAAUAAAUAUCAGUAAAUUCUAAGCAGCCAUGCAGGGUACACCCACAGCACUCUCCAGGGGGACAAUGGUGGCAGGGGAACACGGCCGCGGGGCCACGGCCAGGACACCUGCGCUGAGGUGGGGAGGAGCGUCUUUUCUUAAGCAUCUGAUAAAGCUCUUCCAACACUCCUAUGGGCCCUGUACACACCUUUGAUGUUGCAUUAGAUGUAGAAAAAGACUCUUUCCUUCAUAAUAUUCCCUCCUCUUGUUCCCAUUGAGGAAAAUGGGGAGAAACACGCAGCCUGUUCUAUCAUUUUUUUUUUUUAAAAGAUUGGCACCUGAGCUAACAACGGUUGCCAAUCUUUUUUUUUUUCCUCCCCGAAUCCCCCCAGCAUAUAGUUGUGUAUUUUUAGUUGUGGGUCCUUCUAGUUGUGGCAUGUGGGAUGCCGCCUCAGCGUGGCCUGAUGAGCGGCGCCACGUCCGCGCCCAGGAUCCAAACCGGUCAAACCCUGGGCCGCCGCAGCAGAGCGCGCAAACCUAACCACUAGGCCACGGGGCCGGCCCCUGUUCUAUCAUUUGCAAAGCGAAGGCGAGCUGGGCAGGAUGGGACUCAGGGCCCGUCCUUAGGGACAGUGCACACCACACUCAGCAAGGCCCAAGUGCAGCCACUCUGGGUGACACGCAGCCCCACUCUCCACCUCCUCUCAGCUCGAUUCCAGCCUCGACGUCUGUAACCAAAGCUGUACAGUAAAUCUGAAAACGCCGGCAGAGGCCCCCCCGUGUUCUAGGAGCCAGGUUUGGAGCCAAGAGGUCCCUGAAAUUGAAAAUAGGGUCCCAACCUCCUGACAGUUCUCUUGACCGUUUUUCUUAACCAUAGAGAAAUCUUUUCAGGAAACAAUCACUCUGUGGUAAGGAACCAUUUUUAUAAAUGUACUCAGUUUCACUUCAGUUUCUUUUUCUGCUCAUAUCAAAGAAAAACAAGAGGCAUGAUAGAUGGCAACAUUCACAUAGGACCCCAUUUAUACUGCUACUUCCGCCCAUCUGUCUACGCGCGCAGAGAGCUGUCUAGAAGGAUGUUCACUCCAAGUUAACAACAGCAACCUCUGAAUGGUGUGAUUUUUUUUUUACUUCCCUCUACUUGUAUAUAGCGCUUGAUUCAUUAUAACAAGCAUGUAUAAAUUUACAGAAUGCUCAUUUUUUAAUUAAAAAAAACCUGUUAGAUAUUAAUAGAACCAAAAGGGCAGAGGCUCUAGGGAAAUAAGCUGCCUUUGUUUUAAAAAAGCAAACAAGGUAUUUUAUACUCACUUGUCCAGGCAGAAAUGUGGAGACCCUUUUUAUCUCUCGGGAUGCUUACAUCCAAAUGUGAAGUUCUCACAGAAUGCACAUUCUACUGCAAAUGCAUGUCAUUAUUUAUUUAUUUAUUUGGGGUGGGGGAGUGUGGCAAAAAAUAAAGCUGGCAAGAAAGAAGAGAGACAGAAACUCCCCUCUGGACGACACAUGCAGUGGUUACAGAUGAGAGGCACCCGAGACAGGGAUGGGAAGUGGCCCACGCCCGCUGGCCAGCCUGGGUCAAAGGUUUGGGCUUGCAGGGGACGUUUUCCAAACCAGACGCUUCUAAGAUGUGAAAGUCUGACUCAAGCUGGACGGUCUGGCUCCUUCAUCUAUAAUUAUAAUGGUGUCCUCCUAAACAAUAUGGCAGACAGAUGUGUCCACAUUUCCAAGCUGAAUCUUGCUAUGGCAGAGUACUCAAGGCGGCCCCUUACUCCUUCUUACAUAUCAUAUAAUCCUUGUCAUAACAAAGUAAACGUCAGCACUGCAUUAUGUCAGCGAAUUUCAACAAACAAACGGAAAUUCUUAAUAGCACUGGAAGGCCUUUAAAUGCUCAAAACGGAGUCAGUGCUCGGGAAUGUGGGCGGGGCACUGGGGGCACAGGUGCUCCCUCUCACCUGCCCUGCCCCCCCAGAGGGCCUGGUAUUUACACAAGGUAAACAAUCACAUUUUAUUUAACAAGUAAACAUGUGCCUGGAGGAUAACAUGCUCUCAACCCAUGACUUUGCUCACACUGGCCCCUCAGCCUGGAAUGCCCUCCUUCCCCAAAGCUCUGCCCUAACAGAGGCCCCCGGCAACAGCUUUGGGCCUUUUCCGGCCCUCCCCAAGCCCCAGACAAAGCCACACAAUCUUGCUCGCUUGAUCACCAGGCACUCUUCUGAGGCACAACUUUACUGCGGUGUAAUUCACGUCCUAUAUGAUCCGCCAUUGAAAGCGCCCACUGAACGGUGUUUAGUGUACUCACAGAGCAGACCCCUGCUUUCACUCUGUUUGCAUUGUCGUCUGCUGUGCUUGUUCGUUCGUCUGUUAAUUCACUCACCCAAAAAAAGCUUUUUUUUAUGUGCUGGCUCCGGGCAGGGCAGGCAAUGGAGACAGAAGUGAACAGGAAAGGCAGGUCCCUGCCCCCUUGGAGGGUGUGUCCACUGAAGACAGUCAACAGAAGUACACCAACAAUCAGUUACCAAUGUGUCAUGAUGGAGCUUUAACUCUCCUGGGAGUGAAAGGUGCUUGCAGCGGGCUGAAUGGUGGCCCCCCCAAAAGAUGUGUCUACAUUCUAAUCCUGGAACCUGUGAAUGUGACCUUACCUAGAAAAAGGAUCCUUGCAAAUGUAAUUAAGCUAAGGAUCUGGAGACAAGGUGGUCAUCCUAGAUUAUCUGGGUGGCCCUAAAUCCAAUGACAAGUGUCCUUAUAAGAGACACACAGGAGAAGACAUACGCAGAGGAGAAGGCCAUGUGAAGACAGAGGCAGAGAGUGGAGUAAUGUGGCCACAAGCCAAGGAAGUGAGCAAUCACUAGAAGCAGGAAGAGGAAGGCACGCAUUCUCCCCUUGAGCCCCGGAGAGAGCACGGACACCUUGAUUUCAGACUUCUAGCCUCCAGAACUGUAAGAGAAUAAAUCUCUCUUGUUUUAAGCCUCCGAAUUUGUGAGAAUUUGUCAUGGCAUCCACAAGAAACUAGUACAGUGCUGGAAUCUGCCGCCUGUCCUUGAGAUCCACGCCCCAUCCUGCUCUGUGCCCCAGGGGCCACAAUGACCACUUCAACAGGCCACUUGCCUUCUGGUUCGAGCUGGCAUCAGCGAUGGGGACUGGGGGUGGGGGAAGAAUGAAAUGAGGAGGGGGUUCUCUGGGGUCCUCCCUCUAUGGGUCCCUGUAGGUGGCCAGAUCCCUCCCAACCAAAGCAGUUCUCUCUCCCUCUCUUGGUUCUCUGCACCCUGCUCUGCCUAUCAGGCCUGGAGGGGAGAUGUGCACAACCGUGGCUAGUGCUGUACCAGCCCUGGGGGGUCUACACCCACCCUCUCCUUGUAAAGAAGGCCUUUAAAGGCCUCUCCAGUCCCCCAAGCUGAGUGCCCCCUGUCUUGCCAGCUGCCUGACUGAUAUAACUGAACAGAUUUCCCAAUGAAAUAAAAUGACAUUUGAGCUCACUCCCCCUUUCGAUGAAAACACGAAGCCCCUUAAAAGGAGAGCUGUGUCUUAUUCAUUUCCUGAGGCCCAGAACCUAGUACACCACCCAGGCCAACGCGGGCAUUUCACUAAAUUCUUGCUCGACUUAAUCUGUAGGAAUCUUGAUUGCUGGGGCCUCAAGCCACUAUCAGUUCACUUUUAAAAACUUGCUAAAUUGCUCUGAAGAUUAGCUUCUUUAAAUGCUUAUAAUAAAUUUUUAAACAGUAACAUCAUAGAGUAAUGCUUAUUAUUACAAACAACUACACGUUGACUGGGAAACUAUUUGCACUCCUACUUCACCACAGUAGUGAUAAUGGUUUGGAAGUGAAAUGUAAGUAGAAAAAAUUAAGAUUGUGACAGUGAUUGCUCUAAGGCAAACUGCCCAUUACUGUGUCAGGACAGUUUGUCUCCAAGUGUGUUUUCUACAUGAUUAUGGCGUGAAUUAAUUCCGUAGGAUCUAGUCUGCUAUCAUUUCUCUAUUUUCAAGUGCCAACAAUCAUUUAAAUCUCAUUUCUAUUUACCUUUUGUCUUUUGAGGAUAUAUUCAAACACAGAGCAAAAGGAGAGGUAAGCACAGUGAAUCCCUGCGUGCUCUUCUCCAGGUGCAACAACCCGCGGCAUUCGCCCAUCUUGUUCCGUCCACUCCUCACUUUUUCAAGUAUUUUAAAGCAAAUCUCAGGCAGCAUAUCAUUUCACCCUUAAAAACUUUAACAUGUAUCUUUAAUGGGUAAGAACUUUAUAACUCUAACUAGAAUGCUGUAAUCACACUGAACUAAAAUUAACAAUUCUUUAAUUUCAUCUUCUGCAUGUGUUGGCUUGAAUUCUUCUAUACUGAGGUUUCUGCCUCAUGUUUUUGAGUAUGUAAAAUAGUUUAUAUAGGCAAAGCAGGAUAAAUGUUUGAUUCUGCACCCUUUUCCCCUUUAAACCAACUUUUAGAAGACUGAGUUAAUGCUCAAGUAACCUCCAAAAAUGACCAAUAAGCUUUUUUAGGGGUAUCAGUAUUAAGUAAUGGAUUUGUAUCUUUCUGUGUGUUUCAAUCAGUUACAGUCCUGAAUCUUUCUGAUGCUCAAAUUGUCCCUGGCCAGUGGGAGACACUUCAAGCAGGCUCUUAAGCUCACAUACCCCAGGGCUCUGACAGCUUCCCUACCCUGGUAAAACAAGAUGUCCCAGGACCACCUGUGCACCUGCUGCCCCUGACCAGCACCAGCCCUUCUCGAAGACAUACUGGUUCCUUUUGGUGGAAAAUUUCUUUUGAUUUUGAUGUUUUCUUCUCCAGAUAAAAUUAAAUUGAAAGUUAUCUAUAAUACAAAGACAAAGAAUGAAACAAAUGCUGGCUUUUGUACUUUUCUACUAGCAGAAAAGUUUAAGUUACAUUAAGACUUUAAAUACAGCAGGCUUACCGAUUAGGUGAUGAAAAGGCUGGCAUGCAUUCAGCCAGGUUAAUCUCAUAUCCUCUUAUUGUACUAUUCUUGAUCUAGCUCACCAAUUAAUUUUAGGGUAAAUUUCACCAAAGUCACAUGUAAUUUGAGUUUGGGCUUGAAUAUUAAGUGUUGGCUUAUUAGAAAGCCCAAAUUCAUCUUCUGUUCAGUGCAAAGGCCUUCCCAGUGACAACUCAUUUCACCAGAGUCCUCCAGUCGAACGUGGGCUUUCAGGUGGAGCCUGUAAUCCCAGCCCACGCCACUCCAGAGGUGUGCUGCAAACACCCCUAACGUGUUUUAACUCAAUCCAAAUGUUCCUUGAGUUUUAAUGAAAAAACUUAACAGUUGCAGAGUUGAACUGUUUAAUAUGUUAACAAAAUUAAAGAUCUGAAAAUACAAAAAUACAGUGAAAGAACUGUAGAACAUUACGAAACUGUUCUAAA
rnacentral:lncRNA from 1 species